AACGCUAGCGGUCUGCUUAACACAUGCAAGUCGAACGGGUGUAGAAAUACAUUAGUGCGUACGGGUGAGUAACGCGUGAGAAUCUGGCUUUAGGUUCGGGACAACCACUGGAAACGGUGGCUAAUACCGCAUGUGCCCUUGGGUAAAAGGUUUACCGCCUAAAGAUGAGCUCGCGUCUGAUUAGCUAGUAGGUGUGGUAAAAGCGCACCUAGGCGACGAUCAGUAGCUGGUCUGAGAGGAUGAUCAGCCACACUGGGACUGAGACACGGCCCAGACUCCUACGGGAGGCAGCAGUGGGGAAUUUUCCGCAAUGGGCGAAAGCCUGACGGAGCAAGACCGCGUGAGGGAGGAAGGCUCUUGGGUCGUAAACCUCUUUACUCUGGGAAUAAGAAAGUGACGGUACCUGAGGAAUAAGCAUCGGCUAACUCCGUGC
rnacentral:rRNA from 1 species